GACGAACGCUGGCGGCGUGCUUAACACAUGCAAGUCGAACGGAAAGACCCUGCUUUCCGGGCUCUCGCGUGACGGACGGAUGAGUAACACAUAGGUGAUCUGCCCUCCACCUCGGGAUAAGCCUCGGCAACUGGGCCUAAUACCGACUAGAAAACAUUUUUAGUGUGAUGGUUGGAAAGUUUUUUCGGUGUAGGAUGAGCGCUCGGCCUAUCAGCUAGUUGGUGGGGUAAUGGGCUACCAAGGCGGCGACGGGUAGCCGGCCUGAGAGGGUGGACGGCCACCUGGGGCCUGCGGUACGGACCAGACUCCUACGUGCGGCAGUAGGGGGGAAUCUUGCGCAAUGGGGGCACGCCUGUGGCAGCGGCGUCGCGUGGGGGAUGACGUCCUUUGGGUUGUAAACACCUUUCGCUGGGAACGAAGCCUUUUUUGCCGUUACCUAGAUAAGAAGCACCGGCUACCUCCGG
rnacentral:rRNA from 1 species